UACGUAGGGGGCAAGCGUUGUCCGGAAUCAUUGGGCGUAAAGCGCGUGUAGGCGGCCAGGUAAGUCCGUUCUGAAAGCCCGGGGCUCAACCCCGGGAGGCGGAUGGAUACAGCUUGGCUCGAGUCCGGAAGAGGCGAGUGGAAUUCCCGGUGUAGCGGUGAAAUGCGCAGAUAUCGGGAGGAACACCAAUGGCGAAGGCAGCUCGCUGGGACGGUACUGACGCUGAGACGCGAAAGCGUGGGGAGCAAACAGG
rnacentral:rRNA from 1 species